rnacentral:rRNA from 1 species
GAUGAACGCUGGCGGCGUGCCUAACACAUGCAAGUCGAACGAAGCUUGACGGAUGAUUUCUUCGGAAUGAAACCAGAUAUGACUUAGUGGCGGACGGGUGAGUAACACGUGAGCAACCUGCCUUUCAGAGGGGGAUAACGGCUGGAAACGGUCGCUAAUACCGCAUGAUGUGUUCGGAUGGCAUCAUCUGAACAUCAAAGAUUUAUCGCUGAAAGAUGGGCUCGCGUCUGAUUAGAUAGUUGGUGGGGUAACGGCCUACCAAGUCUACGAUCAGUAGCCGGACUGAGAGGUUGAACGGCCACAUUGGGACUGAGAUACUGCCCAGACUCCUACGGGAGGCAGCAGUGGGGAAUAUUGCACAAUGGGGGAAACCCUGAUGCAGCAACGCCGCGUGAAGGAUGACGGUUUUCGGAUUGUAAACUUCUUUUCUUAGUGACGAAGACAGUGACGGUAGCUAAGGAAUAAGCAUCGGCUAACUACGUG